rnacentral:lncRNA from 1 species
UUGAACUCAUUAUAUAUUUAAAGUUAUAAGUUCAUAUCUACUAUUUUUAUAAUUUUAAUGAAUUUUUACCUAUAAAUUUUUACUCUGCGUCGAAAUUGAUGUAUUCAAUCUAUAUCCGCCCGACGGCGAUGAACUUUUUUUUCCCUAUCUUUUCUUAGUGCAAGAAACUUAUAGAAGUAUAAAGUAAGACGCUAACAAGGCCCACUUUUAAUAUGCAGGUCGAGUAUCGAGGUCUUUGAGCAACUUUGAGCAGGAACCGCUAGGUGCAAUUCAUGAGGUUUGUAUUUAAUUUAGUCAACAAUUUAUUGUAUUUUCUGGACCCAAAUAAAAAGAUUAUGAGUAAAAAUCAAGAAAUUGAAAGUAAAAUCAUUUUCAGUUAAGUAUUACUUGAGUAAUCAUGAAUCAUGAUUACUAGUCUACUUUUCUUUUGACAAAAGAGUUUGACAUAUUAUCAUGUCUACUCUUCUUGCUUAGGGUUUUCUGUAUAUAUAUAUUUUCUUCCUUCAUCACUAACAUGAAGCUGCAGAAAUUCUAUACACUAUAUAUAAUUUUUUUUCUUUUUUUAACCUUAAAACUCCUCGAACUUUAGCAUAUUAUUAUAAUAUAACACGCCAAAAAUAUUUAUGGAACAGGAGCAAUUACUCCAUGACGAGGAGGUG